ACGGGGGGUGCGAGCGUUGUUCGGAAUUAUUGGGCGUAAAGAGCGGGUAGGCGGCUGCAUAAGUCAGAUGUGAAAGCCCUGGGCUUAACCCAGGACCGGCGGUUGAAACUAUGCGGCUGGAGUAGGGUAGAGGAAAGUGGAAUUCCUGGUGUAGCGGUGGAAUUCGCAGAUAUCAGGAGGAACACCGAUGGCGAAGGCAACCUUCUGGGCCUUCACUGACGCUCAGCUGCGAGAGCGUGGGUAGCAAACAG
rnacentral:rRNA from 1 species